GGUCUGUCUUUUCCUUUUGCUUCCAAACAACCCUUUCCCUAUACAGUCUGUCCCAUGGCCAGACAGACUAGACUUCCUUUUCCUGAUAGUUCCAUUAAGACUUCUAGACCUUUUAAACUGAUUCAUGUGGACACCUGGGGACCUUAUCAUACUCCAACCUCUUCUGGUUGAAAAUAUUUUCUUACAAUUGUUGAUGACUUUUCAAGGGCAACUUGGACACACCUAUUGAGAUCCAAAAGCAAUGCUUUUACUAUGCUUAAGUCAUUCCUUUCUCUGGUCAGAACCCAAUUUAAUGCUGUGGUUCAGACUAUUAGAAGUGACAAUGCUUUGGAAUUGGGAUCUAGCAAUGAGGGUAUUUCCUUUUUUAGCAGCCAGGGGAUCAUNNNNNNNNNNNNNNNNNCAAUGCUUUGGAAUUGGGGUCUAGCAAUGAGGGUAUUUCUUUCUUUAGCAGCCAGGGGAUCAUACAUCAAACCUCCUGUCCUCACACCCCUCAACAGAAUGGUGUUGUUGAGAGAAAACAUAGAACUCCCCUUGAAACCUGUACGGCAUUGCUUUUCCACUGGCUUGCCAGUAUCUUUCUGGAGGAAUUGCUUAUUGACUGCUACCUAUCUCCUUAACAGAAUACCCACCAGAUUGCUUCAUAAUAAGUCUCCUCAUGAAAUUUUGUAUGGGAAAAUUCCAACCUAUACUCACUUGAGGACUUUUGGUUGCCUUGCCUAUGCCACUGUUCUUAUCCCUCAAAGGGACAAGUUAAAGCCAAGAGCCAUUCCUUGUGUUUUCCUGGGAUAUCCUUUUGGCAAAAAGGGUAAUAGAUUAUAUGAUCUUGCUUCAAAGAAGUAUUUGGUCUCCAGGGAUGCUCUCUUUCAUGAAUUAUGUUUUCCUUUUAAAUCUGCGCCUCCUUCUGCUCAUCCUCCUGCUUCUCCUUUUCCCUUUGUUCC
rnacentral:lncRNA from 1 species